UACGUAGGGGGCUAGCGUUGUCCGGAAUCAUUGGGCGUAAAGCGCGCGUAGGCGGCCCGGUAAGUCCGUUGUAAAAGUCAAAGGCUCAACCUUUGAAAGCCGAUGGAUACUGCCGGGCUAGAGUCCGGAAGAGGCGAGUAGAAUUCCUGGUGUAGCGGGUGGAAUGCGCAGAUAUCAGGAGGAAUACCCAUAGCGAAGGCAG
rnacentral:rRNA from 1 species